rnacentral:rRNA from 1 species
CACGUAGGGUGCGAGCGUUGUCCGGAAUUAUUGGGCGUAAAGAGCUCGUAGGCGGCUUGUCGCGUCGUCCGUGAAAACUCGGGGCUCAACUCCGAGCUUGCAGUCGAUACGGGCAGGCUAGAGUUCGGUAGGGGAGACUGGAAUUCCUGGUGUAGCGGUGAAAUGCGCAGAUAUCAGGAGGAACACCGGUGGCGAAGGCGGGUCUCUGGGCCGAUACUGACGCUGAGGAGCGAAAGCGUGGGGAGCGAACAGG